rnacentral:rRNA from 1 species
UACAGAGGGUGCGAGCGUUGUUCGGAAUUACUGGGCGUAAAGCGCGCGCAGGCGGCUCUUUAAGUCUGACGGUGAAAUGCCGGGGCUCAACCCCGUGCCCGCCGCGGAUACUGGAGGGCUGGAGACACGUAGAGGCAAGCGGAAUUCCGGGUGUAGCAGUGGAAUGCGUAGAGAUCCGGAAGAACACCGGAGGCGAAGGCGGCUUGCUGGGCGGAGUCUGACGCUGAGGCGCGAAAGCGUGGGGAGCAAACGGG